rnacentral:tRNA from 1 species
AAAUUUAGGUUACAAUAAACCAAGGGCCUUCAAAGCCCCAAACAGGGUUAUCACACCCUAAUUUCUG